GGUGAGUAACACGUGGGUAACCUGCCCUACAGACUGGGAUAACUCCGGGAAACCGGAGCUAAUACCGGGUAAUACAUAGCAUCGCAUGAUGCAACGUUGAAAGUUGGCCUUUGGCUAACACUGUAGGAUGGGCCCACGGCGCAUUAUCUAGUUGGUAAGGUAACUGGCUUACCAAGGCCACGAUGCGUAGCCGACCUGAGAGGGUGAUCGGCCACACUGGGACUGAGACACGGCCCAGACUCCUACGGGAGGCAAGCAGUAGGGAAUCUUCCGCAAUGGACGAAAGUCUGACGGAGCAACGCCGCGUGAGUGACGAAGGCCUUCGGGUCGUAAAGCUCUGUUGUUAGGGAAGAACAAGUACCGUUCGAAUAGGGCGGUACCUUGACGGUACCUAACCAGAAAGCCCGGCUAACUACGUGCCAGCAGCCGCGGUAAUACGUAGGUGGCAAGCGUUGUCCGGAAUUAUUGGGCGUAAAGCGCGCGCAGGCGGUCUCUUAAGUCUGAUGUGAAAGCCCACGGCUCACCGGUGGAGGGCCAUUGGAAACUGGGGGACUUGAGUGCAGAAGAGGAGAGUGAAUUCCACGUGUAGCGUGAAAUGCU
rnacentral:rRNA from 1 species